rnacentral:rRNA from 1 species
GACGAACCGUCCUAACGUUAUUCGGAUUCACUGGGCUUAAAGGGCGCGUAGGCGGUUUACCAAGUCCGGGGUGAAAUCUUUCGGCUCAACCGGAAAAGUGCCUCGGAUACUGGUGAACUUGAGGGAGGUAGGGGCAUGUGGAACUUCCGGUGGAGCGGUGAAAUGCGUUGAUAUCGGAAGGAACGCCGGUGGCGAAAGCGACGUGCUGGCCCUCUUCUGACGCUGAGGCGCGAAAGCUAGGGGAGCAAACGGGGA